AGAGUUUGAUCCUGGCUCAGGAUGAACGCUAGCGGCAGGCCUAAUACAUGCAAGUCGAGGGGUAAAUAUGUAGCAAUACGAUAUGAGACCGGCGCACGGGUGCGUAACACGUAUGCAACUACCUUUUACUGGGGUAUAGCUCCGAGAAAUCGGAAUUAAUCCCCCAUAACACUGCGAUGGGGCAUCUCAUUGCAGUUAAAGCUCAGGCGGUAAAAGAUGGGCAUGCGGUACAUUAGCUAGUUGGUGAGGUAAUGGCUCACCAAGGCUACGAUGUAUAGCUGAUCUGAGAGGAUGAUCAGCCACACUGGGACUGAGACACGGCCCAGACUCCUACGGGAGGCAGCAGUGGGGAAUCUUGCACAAUGGAGGAAACUCUGAUGCAGCGAUGCCGCGUGAGUGAAGAAGGCCUUUGGGUUGUAAAGCUCUUUUGUAGGGGAAGAUAAUGACUGUACCCUAAGAAUAAGGUCCGGCUAACUUCGUGCCAGCAGCCGCGGUAAUACGAAGGGACCUAGCGUAGUUCGGAAUUACUGGGCGUAAAGCGCGCGUAGGCCGUUGAGUUAGUUAAUUGUGAAAUCCCAAAGCUUAACUUUGGAACUGCAAUUAAAACUGCUCGACUAGAGUUUGAUAGAGGAAAGCGGAAUACAUAGUGUAGGGGUGAAAUUCGUAGAUAUUAUGUAGAACACCAGUUGCGAAGGCGGCUUUCUGGAUCAACACUGACGCUGAGGCGCGAAAGUAUGGGUAGCAAAGAGGAUUAGAUACCCUCGUAGUCCAUACCAUAAACGAUGAUUGCUAGAUGUUGGAAAUUUAUUUUCAGUAUCGCAGCUAACGCAUUAAGCAAUCCGCCUGGGGAGUACGACCGCAAGGUUAAAACUCAAAGGAAUUGACGG
rnacentral:rRNA from 1 species